GAAGGCUCCCGCUCUGAGAAUGGCAGCCCAAGAUCAUCCUCUCUCACCACUCCGCUGAAAUGAUAGCCUCAAGCAAGUCAAAAAUAGCCUGAAUCCUUUACAGAAUUCUUUCCAGACCAAAAUAAAAAUGGCAGAAAGGACCCUCCAAAAAUACCCAGUACCGGAGAGCCAGGGUGUAUUUCAGCUCAGCUGAUUCAUUCUUACCCUGCUUGCAAUUCUCUGCCCUUCAAAGGAGAAGAGCAAGUCCUGGCAGAGGCCUUCAGCCAAGGGCCUCUCCCCCAGUAUUGGUUUUGUACUUGCUCGGUGUGCUGUUGACUUUUGCAGCUCUGUACGAUUAUGGGAAACAAGGAUAAUAUUUGCCCUCAGAGCCAGGAAAGAACAAAUAUUUUAUCAACAUCUAAAUCAUCUUUCAUCUAGCAGGGGAGGAGGCGCUGAAUGCCCAGCUGCACACACGUAAGCUGAUGAGGGGCAGGAAAGGGGCUGCUUGGGGAAUCUUCUACCUGUGUAAACUUGACCUAUCAAUACCGGGACCACAUCCACUGCAAAGGGCUUCCUCUGUGAAAUCUAAAAUAUGUCUGCCCUUCCAGGUACCUCCCACAUCCC
rnacentral:lncRNA from 1 species